ensembl:lncRNA
UAUUGUGCCACUGAAUUUUCUAUGCACAGAGGAAAAGGUUGGGUGCUUGGUUGCUGCUCAGUUGCUGCAAUAAGGACAUGACAAGCACUCAUGAAGGAGUAGCUGCAAGUUGCCUUCUAAGGGUCCACAGGACCAUAUUGUCUUUAGCAGUUCCCUGUCAUCUGAAGGAAAAUCAGCUUCUUGGAACAGUAUUCCAAAAGUUCAUGUGUUUUGAAACUGUCUGGUAUUUUUCAGAGGUCUUCUGUAAAGUAAUAAAGUCAUGGAAGUCCAUUGAGAGAGCCCUUUUCAAUCCAGUGGCACAAAAUGUGUUCCAUGCCUUCAAAGACAAAAGAAUCACUGAAUAUCCUGAUUUGGAAAGGAUCCACAAGCAUUCACAAGGAGGUGGAAGAGACCCACAACGAUUCCUUCCAAAGAAACUAGACUGCUUCCACAGCCCCAGGAGCAACCCAGUGUGUUGUUGUCACUAAUGAGCGCUUAGCACUCAUGGCCAGACAACAGCCAGGCCAAAGUAAACCCUUAAGCAUGUUUAGAAAAGGCUUGAGGACUUCAGAAGCAUCUUUUUCACUGUCCAGACCCACUGCACUGCAUUCAUUGCUGAUGUUGACACAGUCUGAAUGAAC